rnacentral:rRNA from 1 species
GACGAACGCUGGCGGCGUGCUUAACACAUGCAAGUCGAGCGGUAAGGCCCUUUCGGGGGUACGACGAGCGGCGAACGGGUGAGUAACACGUGGGUGACCUGCCCUUAGCUCUGGGAUAAGCCUGGGAAACUGGGUCUAAUACCGGAUAUGACCUCAUGACUCAUGUUGUGGGGUGGAAAGCCUUGUGCGGCUAGGGAUGGGCCCGCGGCCUAUCAGCUUGUUGGUGGGGUAAUUGCCACCAAGGCGACGACGGGUAGCCGGCCUGAGAGGGCGACCGGCCACACUGGGACUGAGACACGGCCCAGACUCCUACGGGAGGCAGCAGUGGGGAAUCUUGCGCAAUGGGCGAAAGCCUGACGCAGCGACGCCGCGUGAGGGAUGACGGCCU